rnacentral:misc_RNA from 1 species
AACGCACCUUGCGCUCCUUGGUAUUCCGAGGAGCAUGCCUGUUUGAGUGUCAUUAAAUUCUCAACCCAUUCAACUUGUAAUAAGUUGGUAUGUGGCUUGGAUGUGGGGGUAUAUGCAGGCCUAAAGGUCAGCUCCCCUGAAAUACAUUAGCGGAACGGUUUGCGAUCCGUCACUGGUGUGAUAAUUAUCUACGCCUAAGACAAUGGAAUGCUCUCUGUCUGUUCAGCUUCUAAUAGUCCCAUUAUUGUUGGACAACUUUUGAAAGUUUGACCUCAAAUCAGGUAGGAUUACCCGCUGAACUUAA